ensembl:ncRNA lncRNA:CR44026 long non-coding RNA:CR44026
UAAUUACUCAAAAAAAAACAAAAAAAUAACAGAAAAAAUAACUGAAAGACUGGCAAGAAAAAGAGCUUGGACCUUUAACACCCAUCAUGCGUGCUUUGAAGAUCGGGGCUUUUACCUUUUUCCUUCUGGCUUAAUUACUGCCCAGGUAAUUAUGCGACACUUUAGUCAAGAUCAAUGGCUUGAGAACCGCGGAAGUUGAUGCCAACACAUCAUUAUAAUGAUGCGGGAACAUAUUGAAACUUUCAAAACUGAACAUAAACAAACAUAAUAUUAUAAUAUUAUAUUAUAUUAAUAUCUAAAU